GCCAGGGUCAUGCUGUCUACCACCUGAUUCCAGGCAUCAGACACGUCUGGGAUCCUAACGGUGGCCUAGAGGAGGAAUCCUUCCACGCUAUGAUGAGACAUCUGCUCUCCUUUCUUCCAAAAGGGAAAUGAACAGAGAGCUCCGUGGAGAAAGUUUGUCCGAGAUUCCGCACUGCUGGGAAAAAGUUGGGUGGCAGUGUACACAUGUGCAUUCUAGCUGAGCAAGGAGACACGGCCCACGUGGAUCUGGCAUGCCUCGGUGCUCCUCGUGCACAGGCUAUUCCCUUGCAGCUGAGCUAGGAAACGGUUGUGUUGAGCGGAGACUUUGGGAUCUGUGCAGCACUCCCGUCUGGGGUGCUGUCAGGUGACAAGCUGAUCUAGGCCUGUUGUGGUUCUGUGUGCAUGGGCUGCUGAGUAGUGAAUCUGCACCCAGGGCUCUGUUUUGGGUGAUUAGGAUUAGUAUUAUUGCUUUUAGUAGUAUUACUACUACUGCUAGUAGUCCUACUUUUAUUACUAUCUCUUUGUUACCAUUCUGAUCAUUUCUGAAAUUACUUUUAAUCAUCACUAUGCUUAUUGUUAUGUAUAAUUAUUUUCAUUAUUCCUGUUAUUCCUUUGUGAUGUUGUUACUAUUGCUUGAUUAUUAUUAUAAGUAUUACCGAUACUGUUGGUUUGGUUCCUAUUAUUAAU